UUGAAUUUGAAUUUAUUAAAUUCAGUAUAUAAAUUAUUACAAAAAUAACAAUUUUUAUACUAGGCAGAGUGACAAUAGGACACGAAGUCCCUUACAAGGUUAACUGCCUCACUCAUUACAAUUACACUAAAAUCAAAGUCAGUCAACAAGUACAUAAAUUCAUGGUGUUGACACUACGACAUUUUGGACAAAUAAUUUUGUACGACCUGAUGUUGUCCCCAUCAAAAACUGAUCGUAACCUUUCAACAUAGAAUUCUUUCAACUUCACUCUAAACUCAGUUAAGGAACUACUAGCCUUAAUAUUGUUAGGUAAAGCAUUCCAAAUAUUUACAAUACGUAUAAAAUAAGAAUCUCUAAAACUGGAGGUUUUUGGAAGUUUUGUCGUAAAUACAGACCUGAAGACGAGCGCCUUGUAACUCCAGCACAAAACGUUAAGUAAUUAGAUAAAUCUAUAGUAUAUAUGCCCACUUUACACUUAAAGAAGAAUAUUAGAUCUAAGUAUUCCAGCCAGUAGCUAACAGGUAAUAGCUUUAACUGGACAAGUCGAUCACGAUAGUUUGCUUCCGUAUAUCCACAUAUAAAUUUAGUUGAUCUACGUUGAACGGACUCCAGCAGAAAGAUAUUACGUAUAACGGACUGGGGGGCCCACAAUUGGCUACAAUAACCGAAACGAGAUCUAACAAUUGCUAUAUAAAGGGACUUAAGGGCAUUACGAGACAUGUCGUUUGAACAGUUUCUUUUUAAAAAUCCAAGCAUUCGGUUUGCUCUAGCUGUAAUUUGAUCAAUGUGAGAAUUCCUGGAUAAGUCACAAGAUAUUGACACCCCGAGGUCGACUUGACUUGAUGCACACUUCAAUUUUUCGUUCCAAUUG